rnacentral:rRNA from 1 species
CGGACGGGUGAGUAAUGUCUGGGAAACUGCCUGAUGGAGGGGGGUAACUACUGGAAACGGUAGCUAAUACCGCAUAAUGUCGCAAGACCAAAGAGGGGGACCUUCGGGCCUCUUGCCAUCGGAUGUGCCCAGAUGGGAUUAGCUAGUAGGUGGGGUAACGGCUCACCUAGGCGACGAUCCCUAGCUGGUCUGAGAGGAUGACCAGCCACACUGGAACUGAGACACGGUCCAG